UUUUUUUCCCUUCCUUUUUUGUAGGGAAGAGUUGCAUAUGAAAAUAGAGGUGAAUGCUUUUUCCUGCCGUACUCCGCAGACGAUAUUGAUGAAGCGGCAGAGUUGCAGCCUAGUGAUCGAGUCACAUUUCGAAUUGCUACUGAUAAAAAUACAGGAAACCUUAGGGCUUUUGAUAUUCGUUUGGAGAAACCUCCUCCUGCACGUUAUCAGGGUGUAAUUUGUGCACUAAAGGAAACAUUUGGUUUUAUUGAACGAGCAGAUGUAGUUAAAGAGAUAUUUUUUCAUUCCAGUGAAUGCAAAGCUUUUAAAAAUCUUAACCUUGGAGAUGAUGUGGAAUUUUCUGUACAGACAAGAAAUAACAAAGAGGUUGCAUGUAAUGUUGUCAACCUACCUUUGGGGACUGUAGUUUUUGAAGAU